rnacentral:lncRNA from 1 species
CUCCAUCCUCUCCUUUGGUUUCUAAUGUCCUAUAAGCAAAGGAUUUUGGUACAGUUACUACUGAGGUGCCACAAGCAAAUAAGUACUUAUUCAUUCUUGAAAAUAGUGCUAGGGCCAUUAAGGCCAACAGUGGCAUUAAACCCCACACAAAGACAUUAGAGUUAGCUCAACAUUUUUGCACUUAAAGAAAAUAUUUGUGGAUUCAUCUUUGUGACAACUCUUUCAGGAAUGCAUGGGGUUGCAUUCAUUCAAAAAGAAAGUGAUCUCUAGAGAACUGAGAUUAUGUAUGUAAAGAACCUAGCCAACAACAAGCUUCAUAUAUAGUGGAAUAGUGGAUGUUCAGCAAAUGUUUGAUUUCCUCUCUCAUCUUUGAAACAGCAGGGGCAUUCACAACCACGUCAGUCAGAUCACUUCUUAUGCAUCCUGGAGACAACCCAGAAUGCCAGUAGAUGUUAAUGUGAAUGAAGAACAGUUUAGGAAAGGUGAUGGAGGAGAGCCAAGAAGUCUCAAUGAAGAGAGGCUGCACAUGGAGAAAAAUACAACAGCAGAAGACAUGGGAAUGACUUGUGCUGACUGCACCACCAGCCUGGGAGGCACAUUAGAGGUGAUCUUAAAUCCUGAACAGCUAAGAAAGAGGCUCAACUCUAGAAGUAGGACAGAUCACAAACCACAUUUGUCUGUUGUGUUCCUAAGUGCUUGUCAGUUCUCAGAGACCAAGCUCACCACAGUUAAGGAUGUUUGGAAUGGAGUCCUUUGUUAAAACAUUGGGUUAGCGGGCCUAUUGUGAUCUUUUUAACAUGGAGAUGCUAGAUUUCUUGACUACAGAUAACCACAAGGUUGUGUACCUCAUGUGUCAUUUAGGUGCAAGUGGACAGUUAAAUUCAUAUCUAAGUAUUCUCAAAUUACUCAGACAUGUUUCCUUCCCUUGAGUAUUUUCCCCCCAAAUUAUUAUGGCAUGCGAGUUCCUCUUGUAUGUCUCCUUUUGGAAAACCAGAACUGGGUCACUUUGCAUUGUUGCUCAGAAAGAGACUUACUAGGAAAACAGAUGAGAGGAGCAUUCUCUCAGCUGACUUAGAAACUAAUUAUAGAAAAAUGCAAAGACAGGAUUCUUAGAGACUCAGAGAGAUCAAAGCUGAGUUCAGACAUGUUUCUGAAAAAGCAGACGCAUAAAUUCCAUUCUGUCAUGGAGAAAAUUCAGUCUUCUUUUCACUUUGUUUUUAACUCAAAUUUAAAUGUUCGACUCUUCUCUUAGCAGAACAUUGUUUUAAUAAAUCCCUUUUUGAUAAUAAUUCA